rnacentral:rRNA from 1 species
GACGAACCGUGCGAACGUUGUUCGGAAUCACUGGGCUUAAAGGGCGCGUAGGCGGUCGGAUGAGUCCGUGGUGAAAUCCUUCAGCUCAACUGGAGAAGUGCCGUGGAUACUGUCUGACUCGAGGGGUGUAGGGGUGCGUGGAACUUCCGGUGGAGCGGUGAAAUGCGUAGAUAUCGGAAGGAACGCCGGUGGCGAAAGCGACGCACUGGACACUUACUGACGCUGAGGCGCGAAAGCCAGGGGAGCAAACGGG